rnacentral:tRNA from 2 species
GCGGCUUUAGCUCACUUGGGAGAGCGUCAGACUGAAGUCAACUUCGGUGGUAAAUCUGAAGGCACUGUGUUCGAUCCACAGAAGCCGCA